rnacentral:rRNA from 2 species
GAGUUUGAUCCUGGCUCAGAACGAMCSYUGGSGGCGUGCCUAACACAUGCAAGUCGAACGUGAUUGAGAGCUUGCUCUCAUGAAAGUGGCGCACGGGUGAGUAACACGUGGAUAAUCUGCCUGGCGAUUCGGGAUAACACUUCGAAAGGGGUGCUAAUACCGGAUAAGCCCACGGUCUCUUCGGAGAGCGCGGGAAAAGGGGGCCUCUGUAUAUGCUCCUGUCGCUAGAUGAGUCCGCGGCCCAUUAGCUAGUUGGUAGGGUAAUGGCCUACCAAGGCUACGAUGGGUAGCUGGUCUGAGAGGAUGAUCAGCACACUGGAACUGAGACACGGUCCAGACUCCUACGGGAGGCAGCAGUGGGGAAUUUUGCGCAAUGGGCGAAAGCCUGACGCAGCAACGCCGCGUGAGUGAUGAAGGCCUUCGGGUCGUAAAGCUCUGUCAGAGGGGAAGAACCGCCGGGUGGCUAAUACCUGCCUGGUCUGACGGUACCCUCAAAGGAAGCACCGGCUAACUCCGUGCCAGCAGCCGCGGUAAUACC